rnacentral:snoRNA from 1 species
UCAUAUGAUGAUCAAAAACAAUAUUUUAAUAACUUUCGUUCUACCGAUUUACAUCAAACGAUGUUGGGGAUAAAUUGAUCCACUGAAG